rnacentral:tRNA from 1 species
GGGCCCUUAGCUCAGUCGGGAGAGCGCCGCCUUUGCAAGGCGGAGGUCGCCGGUUCGAUCCCGGCAGGGUCCACCA